UCAAUGUCAACUUAUUUAUAUUUUGUUAAAUAAUAUUCCGUUAAUGAUUUUACAAAAGAGUGAAGCUUGAAAAAUGGUGUUCGAAUUUUUUUUCCUGGAUUUCUUUACCACAUUCGUUCUAUACAUGGCAACACAUACUUUGUGUGAUCCUCUAGAAUAUACCAGAAGUCAAUUGGUCGUUCAAGUUAUAACAUUGCGGUUGCUAAUUGGAUGUUUUCUUAACAUGCUUGGAUAUGGAACUUUAUUCGGUAUUUUUGUCAAAGAUGGGAACAAAGAAAACGAUGGCGAAUUUGUGUUUCUUUGUCUUACUUUGCUGUACUUCAUAUUAUUCUCCACGUGCGUGCGGUUUAUGUUCUAUAGAACGUUUAGUAAGAUCAACAAUGCAAAUAUUUACAAAUAUUGGAACCGUUUUAGACACAUCAGCAUUCUAUACAGAUUUCUAGAAAUGCUUUACAACACAUUAUUAUUAUGUUAUUGUUUAUAUUUAUCAGAUUGGAAAAUGUCACUUUUCAUGAUCGGAGUAACAUGCGUUUACUGCAUCGAAAUGAUUACUUGCCUUAUAGUUCUCGCUGUAGUUAUACAGGAUAAAUUUGGGGGAUUUGAGUUUAAUAAAAGCCUAAUAAAAUAUAACCGUAAGAGACAAAUGUUAAAAACAGGAUUCAUGAACAAGACUGCAAACCUAAAAGAUAUACAUCCAGCUACAACAGAGACUUCCUUUUCAGAUGUAGACGAAACGAUAAUAGCAUCGGAGACAGAAAUUCAAGUAAACCUGGAAGCAAAAGUUAGUAGAAAACUUUUAAAGAUAGCAUGU